UGGGGAAUUUUGGACAAUGGGCGAAAGCCUGAUCCAGCCAUUCCGCGUGCAGGAUGAAGGCCCUCGGGUUGUAAACUGCUUCUGUACGGAACGAAAAGGCUCUUUCUAAUACAAGGGGCUCAUGACGGUACCGUAAGAAUAAGCACCGGCUAACUACGUGCCAGCAGCCGCGGUAAGACAGAGGGUGCAAACGUUGCUCGGAGUUACUGGGCGUAAAGCGCGUGUAGGCGGUGCCGCACGUCCGGUGUGAAAGCCCAGGGCUCAACCCUGGAAGUGCACUGGAUACGACGGCGCUGGAGUCCUGUAGAGGAGGGCGGAAUUCCCGGUGUAGAGGUGAAAUUCGUAGAUAUCGGGAGGAACACCAGUGGCGAAGGCGGCUCUCUGGACAGGUACUGACGCUGAGACGCGAAAGCGUGGGUAGCAAAC
rnacentral:rRNA from 1 species